rnacentral:rRNA from 1 species
UACGUAGGGGGCUAGCGUUGUCCGGAUUUAUUGGGCGUAAAGAGCGUGUAGGCGGCCGAGUAAGUCCGGUGUGAAAACUCGAGGCUCAACCUCGAGAUGUCGAUGGAAACCGUCUGGCUAGAGUCCGGAAGAGGAGUGUGGAAUUCCUGGUGUAGCGGUGAAAUGCGCAGAUAUCAGGAAGAACACCUAUGGCGAAGGCAGCACUCUGGGACGGUACUGACGCUGAGACGCGAAAGCGUGGGGAGCAAACAGG